CAGAAGCGGGGGAUAACACCUGGAAACAGAUGCUAAUACCGCAUAACAACUUGGACCGCAUGGUCCGAGCUUGAAAGAUGGCUUCGGCUAUCACUUUUGGAUGGUCCCGCGGCGUAUUAGCUAGAUGGUGGGGUAACGGCUCACCAUGGCAAUGAUACGUAGCCGACCUGAGAGGGUAAUCGGCCACAUUGGGACUGAGACACGGCCCAAACUCCUACGGGAGGCAGCAGUAGGGAAUCUUCCACAAUGGACGAAAGUCUGAUGGAGCAACGCCGCGUGAGUGAAGAAGGGUUUCGGCUCGUAAAACUCUGUUGUUAAAGAAGAACAUAUCUGAGAGUAACUGUUCAGGUAUUGACGGUAUUUAACCAGAAAGCCACGGCUAACUACGUGCCAGCAG
rnacentral:rRNA from 1 species